UCACUGAUAAGGAGUCCCACAAUAGGACGAAACGGCCGUCCAGUGC
rfam:Schistosoma mansoni, Puerto Rico, WGS project CABG01000000 data, contig: 0199